GAUCUGGUGCCCUUGGGUCGCGGCUUCCCUUCGGGGUUGUCGUGUGUUCCAUGGUUUUGCGCCGGUCAUCCUUUCCGGGAAGGCAUCUUUCCUCUCUUCCUCUUCCUUCGGGGGGAGGUGAGGGGGGUGAGGUGCAUCUAAACUUGCCGGAUCAUUUACUGUGAAAAAAUUAGAGUGUUUAAAGCAGGCUUUACAGCAUUUGAAUACAUUAGCAUGGAAUAAUAAGAUAGGACUCCGGUUCUAUUUUAUUGGUUUCUAGAGUUGGAGUA
rnacentral:rRNA from 1 species